rnacentral:rRNA from 1 species
AGCGAACGCUGGCGGCAGGCUUAACACAUGCAAGUCGAGCGGGCACUUCGGUGUCAGCGGCAGACGGGUGAGUAACACGUGGGAACGUACCCUUUGGUUCGGAAUAACGCUGGGAAACUAGCGCUAAUACCGGAUACGCCCUUUUGGGGAAAGGCUUGCUGCCGAAGGAUCGGCCCGCGUCUGAUUAGCUAGUUGGUGGGGUAAUGGCCUACCAAGGCGACGAUCAGUAGCUGGUCUGAGAGGAUGAUCAGCCACACUGGGACUGAGACACGGCCCAGACCCCUACGGGAGGCAGCAGUGGGGAAUAUUGGACAAUGGGCGCAAGCCUGAUCCAGCCAUGCCGCGUGAGUGAUGAAGGCCUUAGGGUUGUAAAGCUCUUUUGUCCGGGACGAUAAUGACGGUACCGGAAGAAUAAGCCCCGGCUAACUUCGUG